rnacentral:lncRNA from 10 species
ACACUUCCUCCUGGGCCGCCGCCGCCGCCGCCGACUUAAACUUUGGAGGGGGAAAAAGAGCUACUGGCGCCUGGCGACCCUCCCUGCCCCCCACCCAACCCCGCUCCGGCAACGCCCCCUUCCUCACGGCUCCCGACCGAACUUUUCUCCAACUUCUGCGACUCAUCGGGCUGACCCGCGAGUUCGUGCUGUUGCCCGCCGCCUCCGAGCUGGCUCAUGUGAAGCAGCUGGCCUGUUCCAUCGUGGACCAGAAGUUCCCUGAGUGUGGCUUCUACGGCCUUUACGACAAGAUCCUGCUUUUCAAACAUGACCCCACGUCGGCCAACCUCCUGCAGCUGGUGCGCUCGUCCGGAGACAUCCAGGAGGGCGACCUGGUGGAGGUGGUGCUGUCGGCCUCGGCCACCUUCGAGGACUUCCAGAUCCGCCCGCACGCCCUCACGGUGCACUCCUAUCGGGCGCCUGCCUUCUGUGAUCACUGCGGGGAGAUGCUCUUCGGCCUAGUGCGCCAGGGCCUCAAGUGCGAUGGCUGCGGGCUGAACUA